rnacentral:lncRNA from 1 species
CAAGGAGAGGGCCUUCAUUCCUUGCUUCUUAGAUCCAUGGAUUUGGAUGGAAGAAUAGGUUUCUCCAAGUUCCCAAAAUUGAGAACCUCUAAGUCUCCACACCAAGGUAAGAUGUGAAGAAGAGAUGAGUGACCUUGGAGGAGAAAGAUUACCAGCUAAUCCCUCCAAGGGUGGCCGGCCUCUUUAGAGAGAAAAGAGAGCUUGUGUUCUCAUCCUUUCCCCAAAAGAAAACCCUAAAUGAAUUUUGGCUAUAAAGUCAUAUUUAUACCUUUAUUCAUUAGAGUGGCAAACUUGUAAUUAAAGCAAGUUCACUACCCUUCCUCUAAAUGGCCGGCCAUAGGGUUCUAUUGGGCUUUUUGGGCCUUUGUGAAUUAAGUUGUCAUACAACUUAAGUUAAUGGGCUUGACGUUCGAAGCCCAUUGGGCCUUGAGGCCAAAAACUAACCCGUGGUCUUUUAACGAACUUUAUUCGUUUAAUUAAUUAACAUAUUAAUUAAUCCUUGCCAUAAAUAAAUAAUCAAACCAUUUAAUUAUUCUUACUCAUCUCCAUUGUUUCUUCAAUCUCUACCUUACACGGUGUACGA